rnacentral:rRNA from 1 species
GACGAACGCUGGCGGCGUGCCUAAUACAUGCAAGUUGAGCGAUGAAGAUUGGUGCUUGCCCCAAUUUGAAGAGCAGCGAACGGGUGAGUAACGCGUGGGGAAUCUGCCUUUGAGCGGGGGACAACAUUUGGAAACGAAUGCUAAUACCGCAUAACAACUUUAAACAUAAGUUUUAAGUUUGAAAGAUGCAAUUGCAUCACUCAAAGAUGAUCCCGCGUUGUAUUAGCUAGUUGGUGAGGUAAAGGCUCACCAAGGCGAUGAUACAUAGCCGACCUGAGAGGGUGAUCGGCCACAUUGGGACUGGGACACGGCCCAAACGCCUACGGGAGGCAGCAGUAGGGAAUCUUCGGCAAUGGACGAAAGUCGGACCGAGCAACGCCGCGUGAGUGAAGAAGGUUUUCGGAUCGUAAAACUCUGUUGGUAGAGAAGAACGUUGGUGAGAGUGGAAAGCUCAUCAAGUGACGGUAACUACCCAGAAAGGGACGGCUAACUACGUG